rnacentral:rRNA from 1 species
UGGGGAAUAUUGCACAAUGGGCGAAAGCCUGAUGCAGCAACGCCGCGUGAGUGAUGAAGGCCUUCGGGUUGUAAAGCUCUGUCUUCUGGGACGAUAAUGACGGUACCAGAGGAGGAAGCCGCGGCUAACUACGUGCCAGCAGCCGCGGUAAUACGUAGGUGGCAAGCGUUGUCCGGAAUUACUGGGCGUAAAGGAUGCGUAGGCGGAUAUUUAAGUCAGAUGUGAAAUCCCCGGGCUUAACUUGGGGGCUGCAUUUGAAACUGGGUAUCUAGAGUGCAGGAGAGGUAAGUGGAAUUCCUAGUGUAGCGGUGAAAUGCGUAGAGAUUAGGAAGAACACCAGUGGCGAAGGCGACUCUCUGGACUGUAACUGACGCUGAGGCUCGAAAGCGUGGGGAGCAAACA